rnacentral:rRNA from 1 species
UUAAGCGACUAAGCGUACACGGUGGAUGCCCUGGCAGUCAGAGGCGAUGAAGGACGUGCUAAUCUGCGAUAAGCGUCGGUAAGGUGAUAUGAACCGUUAUAACCGGCGAUUUCCGAAUGGGGAAACCCAGUGUGAUUCGUCACACUAUCAUUAACUGAAUCCAUAGGUUAAUGAGGCGAACCGGGGGAACUGAAACAUCUAAGUACCCCGAGGAAAAGAAAUCAACCGAGAUUCCCCCAGUAGCGGCGAGCGAACGGGGAGCAGCCCAGAGCCUGAAUCAGUGUGUGUGUUAGUGGAAGCGUCUGGAAAGGCGCGCGAUACAGGGUGACAGCCCCGUACACAAAAAUGCACAUACUGUGAGCUCGAUGAGUAGGGCGGGACACGUGGUAUCCUGUCUGAAUAUGGGGGGACCAUCCUCCAAGGCUAAAUACUCCUGACUGACCGAUAGUGAACCAGUACCGUGAGGGAAAGGCGAAAAGAACCCCGGCGAGGGGAGUGAAAAAGAACCUGAAACCGUGUACGUACAAGCAGUGGGAGCACGCUUAGGCGUGUGACUGCGUACCUUUUGUAUAAUGGGUCAGCGACUUAUAUUCUGUAGCAAGGUUAACCGAAUAGGGGAGCCGAAGGGAAACCGAGUCUUAACUGGGCGUUAAGUUGCAGGGUAUAGACCCGAAACCCAGUGAUCUAGCCAUGGGCAGGUUGAAGGUUGGGUAACACUAACUGGAGGACCGAACCGACAAAUGUUGAAAAAUUAGCGGAUGACUUGUGGCUGGGGGUGAAAGGCCAAUCAAACCGGGAGAUAGCUGGUUCUCCCCGAAAGCUAUUUAGGUAGCGCCUCGUGAAUUCAUCUCCGGGGGUAGAGCACUGUUUCGGCAAGGGGGUCAUCCCGACUUACCAACCCGAUGCAAACUGCGAAUACCGGAGAAUGUUAUCACGGGAGACACACGGCGGGUGCUAACGUCCGUCGUGAAGAGGGAAACAACCCAGACCGCCAGCUAAGGUCCCAAAGUCAUGGUUAAGUGGGAAACGAUGUGGGAAGGCCCAGACAGCCAGGAUGUUGGCUUAGAAGCAGCCAUCAUUUAAAGAAAGCGUAAUAGCUCACUGGUCGAGUCGGCCUGCGCGGAAGAUGUAACGGGGCUAAACCAUGCACCGAAGCUGCGGCAGCGACGCUUAUGCGUUGUUGGGUAGGGGAGCGUUCUGUAAGCCUGUGAAGGUGUGCUGUGAGGCAUGCUGGAGGUAUCAGAAGUGCGAAUGCUGACAUAAGUAACGAUAAAGCGGGUGAAAAGCCCGCUCGCCGGAAGACCAAGGGUUCCUGUCCAACGUUAAUCGGGGCAGGGUGAGUCGACCCCUAAGGCGAGGCCGAAAGGCGUAGUCGAUGGGAAACAGGUUAAUAUUCCUGUACUUGGUGUUACUGCGAAGGGGGGACGGAGAAGGCUAUGUUGGCCGGGCGACGGUUGUCCCGGUUUAAGCGUGUAGGCUGGUUUUCCAGGCAAAUCCGGAAAAUCAAGGCUGAGGCGUGAUGACGAGGCACUACGGUGCUGAAGCAACAAAUGCCCUGCUUCCAGGAAAAGCCUCUAAGCAUCAGGUAACAUCAAAUCGUACCCCAAACCGACACAGGUGGUCAGGUAGAGAAUACCAAGGCGCUUGAGAGAACUCGGGUGAAGGAACUAGGCAAAAUGGUGCCGUAACUUCGGGAGAAGGCACGCUGAUAUGUAGGUGAAGUCCCUCGCGGAUGGAGCUGAAAUCAGUCGAAGAUACCAGCUGGCUGCAACUGUUUAUUAAAAACACAGCACUGUGCAAACACGAAAGUGGACGUAUACGGUGUGACGCCUGCCCGGUGCCGGAAGGUUAAUUGAUGGGGUCAGCGCAAGCGAAGCUCUUGAUCGAAGCCCCGGUAAACGGCGGCCGUAACUAUAACGGUCCUAAGGUAGCGAAAUUCCUUGUCGGGUAAGUUCCGACCUGCACGAAUGGCGUAAUGAUGGCCAGGCUGUCUCCACCCGAGACUCAGUGAAAUUGAACUCGCUGUGAAGAUGCAGUGUACCCGCGGCAAGACGGAAAGACCCCGUGAACCUUUACUAUAGCUUGACACUGAACAUUGAGCCUUGAUGUGUAGGAUAGGUGGGAGGCUUUGAAGUGUGGACGCCAGUCUGCAUGGAGCCGACCUUGAAAUACCACCCUUUAAUGUUUGAUGUUCUAACGUUGACCCGUAAUCCGGGUUGCGGACAGUGUCUGGUGGGUAGUUUGACUGGGGCGGUCUCCUCCUAAAGAGUAACGGAGGAGCACGAAGGUUGGCUAAUCCUGGUCGGACAUCAGGAGGUUAGUGCAAUGGCAUAAGCCAGCUUGACUGCGAGCGUGACGGCGCGAGCAGGUGCGAAAGCAGGUCAUAGUGAUCCGGUGGUUCUGAAUGGAAGGGCCAUCGCUCAACGGAUAAAAGGUACUCCGGGGAUAACAGGCUGAUACCGCCCAAGAGUUCAUAUCGACGGCGGUGUUUGGCACCUCGAUGUCGGCUCAUCACAUCCUGGGGCUGAAGUAGGUCCCAAGGGUAUGGCUGUUCGCCAUUUAAAGUGGUACGCGAGCUGGGUUUAGAACGUCGUGAGACAGUUCGGUCCCUAUCUGCCGUGGGCGCUGGAGAACUGAGGGGGGCUGCUCCUAGUACGAGAGGACCGGAGUGGACGCAUCACUGGUGUUCGGGUUGUCAUGCCAAUGGCACUGCCCGGUAGCUAAAUGCGGAAGAGAUAAGUGCUGAAAGCAUCUAAGCACGAAACUUGCCCCGAGAUGAGUUCUCCCUGACUCCUUGAGAGUCCUGAAGGAACGUUGAAGACGACGACGUUGAUAGGCCGGGUGUGUAAGCGCAGCGAUGCGUUGAGCUAACCGGUACUAAUGAACCGUGAGGCUUAACCUU